CAGCAGCCGCGGGAAUACGAAGGGUGCAAGCGUUACUCGGAAUUACUGGGCGUAAAGCGUGCGUAGGUGGUGGUUUAAGUCCGUUGUGAAAGCCCUGGGCUCAACCUGGGAAUUGCAGUGGAUACUGGGUCACUAGAGUGUGGUAGAGGAUAGUGGAAUUUCCGGUGUAGCAGUGAAAUGCGUAGAGAUCUGGAGGAAUACCGGUGGCGAAGGCGGCCCCCUGGACAAAGACUGACGCUCAGGUGCGAAAGCGUGGGGAGCAAACAGGAUUAGAUACCCGGGUAGUCCCUGUCUCUUAUAC
rnacentral:rRNA from 1 species